CCUGCUCGGACUCUGGCCGGUUUUGCAUGGUUGUUAGAUCACGUGGACUUUGGUGGGGUACGAAAAGAAAAGAAAAGAAAAAAACAAUUAGAGGAACUACGUGACACGUCGUUUUUCUGAACCGGAGCGCGAAUUCCAGUUGAUCCAGCCUUGAGAUCCGAGGCUUCCACCGAGAUGUAUCUACAACCCUCUUAAACCUGCUCAAAGCCUCCUAAUUACUUGUGUAAUAAUGUCGGCGGUGUAAAGACGUUAAAUGCACAGCAAGUGCUUAAAAAUGUGGUGCGUUUUAAUUUAAUAGCCCAAUGACUUGAUGCCAGGCUCGUCGUGCCUGCCUGUGGCUCCGGGGACAAAUCCCGUGUCGUGUCGUGUCGUGUCGUAUCGUGUCGUGUGAAGUCCUGCAUGACAGCCUGUGAUCAGACUGAAACAUUCUGUGCGCAUGAAUCAAAAGGACGAGAUGCAGGUUUCGGUGAAGGAAACGUCUCCCCUUGUCUCGAUCCUGACAAGCCCUUGAGCAAGAGAUGAGCGACAAACACGAUUCUGUCUUCUGAAGAAUAUUUAAUGAGUCGCUUGGAAAAUUCAGUCUUAUGCUACUGAACCUGUAAAACUGUUUAUGUGCCACGGUCUGGCAGUAGAUCAACAUUUAACAUGAUAAAACUCGUCCCGUGACACCCGCUGGGAUCUUUAAAACCUGGCAACAUUAAUAACUGCGUUCAAUAAAAAAAGUGUACGAGA